UUUAAAGCAAGAAAUGGACAGGUUUUCAGGAAGAAUGAGGAGGGGGCUUGUGACUUCCUCCUGACUACUGCCUCUGGAGUGAGCGGCAGCAACAGACUCAUAACAGAAGAAUCUCAACAGGAAAGAAUUAUCAAGUACCAGCCCCGACAGGGAAAGGUGUACGUUGCAAUUCCUAUAAGAAAUCAACUAUCCCUGCAAAUCACCCAAUGAGAAACUGUCAUCAACUGGACUCUUGCUUCUCUCCAAUGGACUUUUGUUCAAAACAACCCCUCCCAAUUUCUUCCUUCUCUGUAGAAUAAGGUUCCUCUCUUUUGUUUGUUGGAUUUACCUGUAGUUUUGUUAGAACUUGCUUGUCGCAUAUUGCAAUUCUCUGCUAUUCCCUAA
rnacentral:lncRNA from 1 species